rnacentral:rRNA from 1 species
UACGUAGGGUGCAAGCGUUGUCCGGAAUUAUUGGGCGUAAAGAGCUCGUAGGCGGUUUGUCGCGUCUGCUGUGAAAACUCGGGGCUCAACCCCGAGCUUGCAGUGGGUACGGGCAGAUUAGAGUGCGGUAGGGGAGACUGGAAUUCCUGGUGUAGCGGUGGAAUGCGCAGAUAUCAGGAGGAACACCGAUGGCGAAGGCAGUUCUCUGGGCCGUAACUGACGCUGAGGAGCGAAAGCGUGGGGAGCGAACAGG